GACGAACCGUACGAACGUUAUUCGGAAUCACUGGGCUUAAAGGGUGCGUAGGCGGCACGGAAAGUUGGGUGUGAAAUCCCUCGGCUUAACCGAGGAACUGCGCCCAAAACUACCGCGCUUGAGGAAGAUAGAGGUGAGCGGAACUUAGGGUGGAGCGGUGAAAUGCGUUGAUAUCCUAAGGAACACCGGUGGCGAAAGCGGCUCACUGGAUCUUUUCUGACGCUGAGGCACGAAAGCUAGGGGAGCAAACGGG
rnacentral:misc_RNA from 1 species